rnacentral:rRNA from 1 species
UACGUAGGGAGCAAGCGUUGUCCGGAAUCAUUGGGCGUAAAGAGCGCGUAGGCGGCCCGGUAAGUCCGCUCUGAAAGUCAAAGGCUCAACCUUUGAAAGCGGGUGGAUACUGCCGGGCUAGAGUCCGGAAGAGGCGAGUGGAAUUCCUGGUGUAGCGGUGGAAUGCGCAGAUAUCAGGAGGAACACCAACGGCGAAGGCAGCUCGCUGGGACGGUACUGACGCUGAGGCGCGAAAGCGUGGGGAGCAAACAGG